rnacentral:rRNA from 1 species
AACCCCUACCUGCUAGUUGCCAGCGGGUCAUGCCGGGGACUCUAGCGGAACUGCCAGCGUAAGCUGCGAGGAAGGUGGGGAUGACGUCAAAUCAGCACGGCCCUUACGUCCAGGGCUACACACGUGUUACAAUGGCCAGUACAGAGGGCAGCCACCCCGCGAGGGGGCGCUAAUCCUAAAAGCUGGUCCCAGUUCGGAUCGGAGUCUGCAACCCGACUCCGUGAAGCUGGAUUCGCUAGUAAUCGCGCAUCAGCCACGGCGCGGUGAAUACGUUCCCGGGCCUU